UACGUAGGUGACAAGCGUUGUUCGGAAUUACUGGGCGUAAAGGGCGCGUAGGCGGCCGCCUAAGUCAGACGUGAAAUCCCUCGGCUCAACCGGGGAACUGCGUCUGAUACUGGGUGGCUUGAAUUCGGGAGAGGGAUGCGGAAUUCCAGGUGUAGCGGUGAAAUGCGUAGAUAUCUGGAGGAACACCGGUGGCGAAGGCGGCAUCCUGGACCGAGAUUGACGCUGAGGCGCGAAAGCCAGGGGAGCAAACGGG
rnacentral:rRNA from 1 species